AUGACCUCUGCUCUCCCUUUCUCUUCUUUCUGCUUAAAAUUGGGCACAAAGGAAGGAAAACACUUUAAAACAUCAUACCUCACUCACUACAUCACAGGCUUUAUUGUGACAUCUGGUGACUUUCCUUGGCCCUGCCUGGGAAGGGGGAGGUUGUGUGACAGCUCCCUGGUGAGAGCCCCUACCUCUGCCAGUCCAUCCAGCCCCACAUCCCACACCUCAUCUCCAUUUCCUCUGUACCAUCUUCCAGGAGGACUCCAGCUGAGCCAGUGCAGCUGCCUGAAGGAAGCAGAAACACCCAAUUCUCUUAAGAGCUCAACUCAGAACUGGCACUCUGGCACUUCUAGAUGUAUACCUCUGGCCAAAGAAAAUCAUGAGACCUGCCCGGUGUCAAGCGGUGGGAAAUUCACUGCACAUAAAAUGGGAGCGUGCAGGCUUCAGUUACAUGGCAAAGGAUGUGAAUGGGAUGGGAAAGAAGCAGGACAGAUAAUUUCACCCACUACCAAUGUUUCUACCUGUGUCAUUCUCUCUGUGCUCCUCCCAGCACCUGUUCUUUUUCUACCAACCUCAGAGCUUCCACCCUCCCCAGGCACAACUGCCACCUACAGACACAGCUGAUUUACAGGCCAUUAUUUUCUUUGAAAUGUGAGAACCUCCAAGGAUCAGAACUUACUUUGGCACUUGAUAAAAGUCCAGACCAUGAAGGGCCCAGCCACCUCCAGAGUGUUUCCUGAUGAGUCAACAUCUACCCAGAGGAGACAUUUACAAACUGUAGGUGAAUCUCCACGCCAGGAUGAAAUCUUGAUUGGGCCAGCAGAGGUGAUGGGAGCAUGUGCCAAUUGCGCUCCAGUAUCAGACAGGAACAAGAGGGACAUACUGCCCUGCCAGAGCUGGACCCACCGCCAAGAAACAUUUGACCCCCAGUAACCGCUUGGCUCCACUUUGAGGACAAGGUACUAUCAAUAGCUUUGGAAACACACAACUGGAAUAAAAAUUGUUAUCAAAUGGGUUCUUCAAAUUUUAGAUAAAAGCAAUUGCUCUGUGAAUGCUUCAGUCAAUCAAGUGGAGCUGAACGCAGUGAGAUGACUUAAUGCAGCUGGGCGAGAGAGUUAAGAGGCCCAGGGAAAGGUAAAGGGGACAGUGACUGUCUGAAGAGCAGUACCCAUCUGUGUUCGCCAUCAGAAGAUGAGAGAGGGUUGGAGGGUGGACAGAAUAUUUGCUCUCCUUAAGAUUGUUUCCAGGGAGCAUCUGCCUUAAAAGGGUUUGGUUGAUGAGCUCUGAGCCUGCCUGGGCAGUGGUACCCCUACACUUCCUCUGAUGACCACACAACCCUGCCCAAACUUGUUGUGUUCCCCAGAUCAACAAGAAUAGAAGCCAGCCUGGUACCCAGCUUAGGGCCUUCACUCAUCCUAACAUUUAUUCAGGGGUUUCAAGAAUAAGAUAGCUUCCUUUCCUUCAAGAGGCUCAGUGGCUCUUUAAGCAGACAGAUGGGAAGAGCAACAUUUCAACUCAGGCUGAUACGUUGUGACAAAGAUCUGUUCCUGGUGCUGUGGGAGCCUGGAGAAGUCCCUGUCCAGAGAAGGAUGGACAAGCCAAGCAGGAAAUGCUUGUGUGAACUGCGUGGUUGAAGGAGCGGCUGCCGAGCAGUCUGGAAAAGAGAACAAUAAAAGCAAAGUGGAGACAUUUGCAAACUGUAGGUGAAUCUCCAUGCCAGGAUCAAAACUGUGUCAGCCAGAUGAAAAAUAAGACUGGAGGGGCAGGCAGUGACCAGUGCACAAGAAUUCAAUUUCAAGCACCAAAAGAGCGUCAAAUAGGGGUCUGUGUCCAGGAUUCAGGAUACAUCUGUGUACUCAUUCACCUCUGUCCCUGCUCUAGUACCCAUAGGAAGAUGCCAUAUUUCUAAUCAACUUUUGAUUUCCCAACCAGCCCAUUAUGCCUUCCUGUUAUAAAGAGUGUUUCAGGCUUGGUGCGAGCAAUCCAGCGGCAGGGCCAGUAUCAACUCCCAGUAGCUGUAAGUCCCUAGAACAUCCUCUUCUAGGACUGGGAUUAGCUUGAACUAGUCUGCUCAUUCCAUUGGACUAUGAACUCCUUGACAGCCUCUACCAGGCACGAAUUCUGGCCUGUAGUAGGGGUCAUAUGAAUAACUAUGGGGGAAAACAAACUGAUGAAAGAACACAGCAAUGAAGGAAAUCUUUCUCCUAUAAUGUGAGAGAAUAGUGAUGUAAAUUUUACCCUACAUGUCAUUGGAUGAAAAACUAUGUUCUUGCUUAUAAGGGUACAAAAAUACUCUACUUCUGGACUUCCCUGGUGGUCCAGCGGUUAAGAAUCCACCCGCCAGUGCAAGGUACAUGGGUUUGAUCCCUGGUCUGAGAAGAUCGCUCAUGCCAUAGGGCAACAAAGCCUGUUGUCAUAACUACUGAGCCUAUGCUCUAGAGCCCGGGAGCUGCAACCGCUGAAGCCCACAAGCCUAUAGCCCUUAUGCCAUAACAAAAGAAGCCGCCACAGUGAGAAGCCCUAGGGCCACAACUGGAGAAAACCCUGAAGUGACGGAGACCCAGUGCAGCCAAAACUAAGUAAGUAGAUAAAACUCUGUUAUGGAGAGAGGCCAUGUGAGAGGCAGGACGUGGGAGCCUAUGGAAAACAGAGAGCCUUGACAAGCAGACUAUAAAGAAAAAGAUUGCUUAUUUACAUCAGGUAUCCUGGGAGUGGACAGACACAUACGCACUUAGUAAGUGGUUAUUUUCUGUCAAGCAUGAUGGAAAGCAUUUUGUAUGUACAAAGAUUCCUGCAGCAGAUUUGGUAUUUUCACCAUUUUGCCUGUAAGGAAACCAGGGCACAGAGAAGUUAAGUUAAAUUAAACAAGAAAAUACAGGUAGAAAGAAGAGUGGGGUUAGCACACCAGCUAUUAAAUUCCAGCUCCUACCACCCUGGUCCUGUGGCUACACUGCUGUGCUGAACACACGUGUGCACACACACACACACAGUUGAGAAAUGGCUUGACCUGCCCCAAAUGUGAGUCAUUCCAGGAGGGUGACAGAUAUAGGCAGAAGACCAACCACAGACACAUGCACAUGGACUUAUGGGGAUAUAAAGGGACAUAGUGAUCAUCUUACAUCUCCCCAGGUAGCUCAGCAGUAAAGAAUCCACCUGCCUAUGCAGGAGAGGUGGGUUGGAUCCCUAGGUCAGGAAGAUCCCCUGGAGGAGGAAAUGGCAACCCGCUCUAGAAGUCUUGCCUGGAGAAUCCCAUGGACAGAGAAGCCUGGCAGGCUACAGUCCAUAGAGUCGCAAAGAGUCAGAGAUGACUUAGCAACUGAGCACUCAGGCUGCGAUCAUCUUACACAGGCAGACGUCAGGAGCCCAGGGCCUGAACUAGUUCAUGCUCUAUCCGGAACACCCAUCACCGUGAAGCUCACAAAGGAAACCUGUACACAGAAGAUAGGGCAAGCCAAGCUCAGCUUUAUAACUUUGAGGACGGAGGUCCAGUGUAACCCCUGGUGGCUUGGGCUGGACCAUGUGAUGAGCUCCUUCUGCCUAGACCACAAGCAUUCCUUCAACCCUCUCUUCUGUGUUUUGUCUCUCCAAGACUGAAAAAGACCUAGGAAGGGCAAGCCAUCCAGGGAGAAGUAAGAGCUAGAGAAUGCUUGCCCCCUUGAUAAGGUCCAGUCUCCAGACCUUGGGUGUGGGAGCUGGGUGCCAAGGCCUCUGCUCCGGAGCAGACCUCAUGUGCGCUUCUGUCUGAGCAGUGCAGGGGCUGCUCACACCAGACAAGCCUGCGUUCAAAUGUAGAACGUCAUUGGCAAGCUGUAUCUCCCGGACUCCCUCUUUCAAGGAAUGGUACCAUUGCCCCAUGAACUGUGCAAACCAAAAAUGUGGGAAUCAUCCUUUACACCCACCUUUCCCCCACACCCAACAGUCGUCCUUUCAGCUCGUGAUAUCUCUGUUAGCCCCAAACAGCACUUGACUUUAUUCACUUGGCCCCUUUUCGUUGCCAUCCUCUGAGUUACUGUUUCAUCUUACCACCUUUGGUAAGUGAAAGUAAAAGUGUUAGUCACUCUGUUGUGCCUGACUCUUUGUGACCCAAUGGACUAUAGCCUGCCAACUGCUCUGCCCAUGGGAUUCUCUAGGCAAGAAUGCUGGAGGAAGUAGCCAUUUCAUUCUCCAACAGAUCUUCCCGACACAGGGAUCAAACCCAGGUCUCCCACACUGCAGGCAGAUUCUUUACCAUCUGAGCCACCUGGGGUGAAAUCUGCAAAACCAUCA
rnacentral:lncRNA from 1 species